AAGUCGUAACAAGGUUUCCGUAGGUGAACCUGCGGAAGGAUCAUUAAAGAUUCGGGCUUCGGCCUAACCUCUUCAGCUGUGCGCUUUGGCUGCACGCUGUCGAAACCUCUCACACCUGUGCACCUUUUCGGUUGCGGCGUUCGCGUCGCUUCCGCUUUACACAUUUUACUACAAAAGUCCAGAAUGUCAAAACUACAAACAUAAUACAACUUUCAACAACGGAUCUCUUGGCUCUC
rnacentral:misc_RNA from 1 species